rnacentral:lncRNA from 1 species
AUAAGUACACCAUAUAACAAAUUAAGAUUAAAAACCAUGUAAUUCUAUUAGUUGGUGCAGAAAAAGCAUUUAACCAAAUUCAACACUCAUUUAUAUUAAAGACACUCAACCUAUUAAGAAUAGAGGGGAACUACUUCAAUUUAAUAAUGAACAACAAUAAAACAUCUAUAGCUAAAAUUGUACUUAAUGGUAAAUGACUUAAUGCUUUCCCCUAAGAUUGGGAGCAAGGCAAUGAUGUUCACUUUCUCUGCUCUUAUUCCACAUAGUACUGGAGGUUUUAGCUAUUGCAGUUGAGGCAUACAGAUUAGAAAGGGAGAAAUAAAAAUGUCUCUGUUUGUAGAUAUCAUGAUUAUCUACAUAGAAAAUAUAUUCCCCCUUAAAUGUAUACAAAGAAAAAAAGCACUGUAAAAUACUAUAAAAUGUUAUCGUGACACAUAAACUUUCAGAAUCAUUCAAUAAUAAGCAACAAUAAAAUAAAAUAAACCUUUAAAACUUAAUCAGCCAAUCUUGAGGGUCCUCUCUUUGGCUCUUCUCAUUUGCUUGCUCUGAUAAAUCAAGUUGAUAUGAUAUGAGUUGCUUCAUGGAGAGGGCAGAAGGUAUAGGACUGAAUCCUGCCAUAAAAUUAUGUAAAGGAGCUUGGAUACAGACCCUUCCCUACUGGAGCCUUGAGAUGAGACCAUAGCUCCAGCCAACUCCAUGACUGCAGCCCUCUGACAGAUCCUAAGUCAAAAGAUCCUGCUGAACCACAUCCAUACACUUGACCUACACAAGCCAUGAGAUAGUAAAUGUUGUGGGUUCAAGUCACCACAUUUUGGGAUGAUUUGUUAUGCAGCGAUAGAUAUCUAAUACAAUCUCUAUCUUUAUAUUAUUCAGGAAGUCAUUAAAGAAGCAACCCAUGGCAAAACUAGUUAUUUUCUUAAAACAGUAGGAAGAAGAAAAGCUUUUUGAAUGAAUCACUUCUCAUCUUCUCCGAAGUUGGAAGCAUCAAGAAUCUAAAUAAGCAUUUAUGAUGGCUGGCAUGAAUAUACAGGUGAAGACAGAACAAGAAAACAAACCAAGAAUUUCCCCUCACCAGCCACCAGCUCUGCCAGCAACUUGAUCUUAGACUUCCCAGCCUCCGUAACGUCUUCCUCCUAAAAACCUGUAACCUCAAUCUAAUCAUGAGAAAAGACAUCAGGCAAAUCCCAACUGAGGGAGAUUUUACAUAGUACCUGAGCAGUACUCCUCAAAACUGUCAAGGUCAUCAAAAACAAAGAAGUAUGAAAAACUGUCACAGCCAAGAGGAACUUAAGGAAACAUAAUAAUUAAAGCCUCUGCUUAUAAUCUGUCAUGGAUUGGAAAACUAGAAAAAACAGUUUACAGAGUAUAACAAACUUUGGAGGAGUUAAUCGACUCUAAGUAAAAGAGUAUCUAGCACGGCUGUGGAACAAAGGAGAGACUCACAAACUGUUGAAAGAAUAAAUGAAUGAAUGAAUUCUGUUCAUGAGCUUUAAUAAAACAGCUCUGAGUAGUAACAGUGGAUCAAAUUUAGGCUUCUUGAUGCAGGCAUGGUGUAGAUUACUACUUCUGUAUUGUCCCAGGAGCUCAGCACAUUCCUGCAGAGAUGAUAGGAGCUCAUCUGAUACUUGUCAGCUUUGAAUAAACUCCAGUCCCCAAGAGAGAGAAUGAGAAUCACCGGAAUACGAAACUUCCCUGUUGGACUUCCCAACAUUCUUGAAUGCACCAAGAUAGCCUCUUGCUGUGAGAUUAAUAAAUGAAUAAAUGCCUCCAUAUUUUUCAAA